GACGAACCGUGCGAACGUUGUUCGGAAUCACUGGGCUUAAAGGGCGCGUAGGCGGGCGAUCAAGUCCGGGGUGAAAGCUUUCGGCUCAACCGGAAAAGGGCCUCGGAUACUGGUCGCCUUGAGGGAGGUAGGGGCAAGCGGAACUUCCGGUGGAGCGGUGAAAUGCGUUGAUAUCGGAAGGAACGCCGGUGGCGAAAGCGGCUUGCUGGACCUCUGCUGACGCUGAGGCGCGAAAGCCAGGGGAGCGAACGGG
rnacentral:rRNA from 1 species